GGUUAAGCGACCAAGCGUACACGGUGGAUGCCCUGGCAGUCAGAGGCGAUGAAGGACGUGCUAAUCUGCGAAAAGCGCCGGUAAGGUGAUAUGAACCGUUAUAACCGGCGAUGUCCGAAUGGGGAAACCCAGUGUGACUCGUCACACUAUCAUUAACUGAAUCCAUAGGUUAAUGAGGCGAACCGGGGGAACUGAAACAUCUAAGUACCCCGAGGAAAAGAAAUCAACCGAGAUUCCCCCAGUAGCGGCGAGCGAACGGGGAGGAGCCCAGAGCCUGAAUCAGCAUGUGUGUUAGUGGAAGCGUCUGGAAAGGCGCGCGAUACAGGGUGACAGCCCCGUACACAAAAGCGCAUGUGCUGUGAGCUCGAUGAGUAGGGCGGGACACGUGGUAUCCUGUCUGAAUAUGGGGGGACCAUCCUCCAAGGCUAAAUACUCCUGACUGACCGAUAGUGAACCAGUACCGUGAGGGAAAGGCGAAAAGAACCCCGGCGAGGGGAGUGAAACAGAACCUGAAACCGUGUACGUACAAGCAGUGGGAGCAUGAGUUUACUCAUGUGACUGCGUACCUUUUGUAUAAUGGGUCAGCGACUUAUAUUCUGUAGCAAGGUUAACCGAAUAGGGGAGCCGGAGGGAAACCGAGUCUUAACCGGGCGUUAAGUUGCAGGGUAUAGACCCGAAACCCGGUGAUCUAGCCAUGGGCAGGUUGAAGGUUGGGUAACACUAACUGGAGGACCGAACCGACUAAUGUUGAAAAAUUAGCGGAUGACCUGUGGCUGGGGGUGAAAGGCCAAUCAAACCGGGAGAUAGCUGGUUCUCCCCGAAAGCUAUUUAGGUAGCGCCUCGUGAAUUCAUCUCCGGGGGUAGAGCACUGUUUCGGCCAGGGGGCCAUCCCGGCUUACCAACCCGAUGCAAACUGCGAAUACCGGAGAAUGUUAUCACGGGAGACACACGGCGGGUGCUAACGUCCGUCGUGAAGAGGGAAACAACCCAGACCGCCAGCUAAGGUCCCAAAGUCAUGGUUAAGUGGGAAACGAUGUGGGAAGGCCCAGACAGCCAGGAUGUUGGCUUAGAAGCAGCCAUCAUUUAAAGAAAGCGUAAUAGCUCACUGGUCGAGUCGGCCUGCGCGGAAGAUGUAACGGGGCUAAACCAUGCACCGAAGCUGCGGCAGCGACACUGUGUGUUGUUGGGUAGGGGAGCGUUCUGUAAGCCUGCGAAGGUGUGCUGUGAGGCAUGCUGGAGGUAUCAGAAGUGCGAAUGCUGACAUAAGUAACGAUAAUGCGGGUGAAAAACCCGCACGCCGGAAGACCAAGGGUUCCUGUCCAACGUUAAUCGGGGCAGGGUGAGUCGACCCCUAAGGCGAGGCCGAAAGGCGUAGUCGAUGGGAAACAGGUUAAUAUUCCUGUACCUGGUGUUACUGCGAAGGGGGGACGGAGAAGGCUAUGUUGGCCGGGCGACGGUUGUCCCGGUUUAAGCGUGCAGGCUGGUUUUCCAGGCAAAUCCGGAAAAUCAAGGCUGAGGCGUGACGACGAGGCACUACGGUGCUGAAGCAACAAAUGCCCUGCUUCCAGGAAAAGCCUCUAAGCCUCAGGUAACAUCAGAUCGUACCCGAAACCGACACAGGUGGUCAGGUAGAGAAUACCAAGGCGCUUGAGAGAACCCGGGUGAAGGAACUAGGCAAAAUGGUGCCGUAACUUCGGGAGAAGGCACGCUGACACGUAGGUGAAGCGGUUUACCCGUGGAGCUGAAGUCAGUCGAAGAUACCAGCUGGCUGCAACUGUUUAUUAAAAACACAGCACUGUGCAAACACGAAAGUGGACGUAUACGGUGUGACGCCUGCCCGGUGCCGGAAGGUUAAUUGAUGGGGUCAGCGCAAGCGAAGCUCCUGAUCGAAGCCCCGGUAAACGGCGGCCGUAACUAUAACGGUCCUAAGGUAGCGAAAUUCCUUGUCGGGUAAGUUCCGACCUGCACGAAUGGCGUAAUGAUGGCCAGGCUGUCUCCACCCGGGACUCAGUGAAAUUGAACUCGCUGUGAAGAUGCAGUGUACCCGCGGCAAGACGGAAAGACCCCGUGAACCUUUACUAUAGCUUGACACUGAACACUGGUCCUUGAUGUGCAGGAUAGGUGGGAGGCUUUGAAGUGUGGACGCCAGUCUGCAUGGAGCCGUCCUUGAAAUACCACCCUUUAAUGGCUGGUGUUCUAACGUAGACCCGUGAACCGGGUUGCGGACAGUGUCUGGUGGGUAGUUUGACUGGGGCGGUCUCCUCCUAAAGCGUAACGGAGGAGCACGAAGGUUGGCUAAUCCUGGUCGGACAUCAGGAGGUUAGUGCAAUGGCAUAAGCCAGCUUGACUGCGAGCGUGACGGCGCGAGCAGGUGCGAAAGCAGGUCAUAGUGAUCCGGUGGUUCUGAAUGGAAGGGCCAUCGCUCAACGGAUAAAAGGUACUCCGGGGAUAACAGGCUGAUACCGCCCAAGAGUUCAUAUCGACGGCGGUGUUUGGCACCUCGAUGUCGGCUCAUCACAUCCUGGGGCUGAAGUAGGUCCCAAGGGUAUGGCUGUUCGCCAUUUAAAGUGGUACGCGAGCUGGGUUUAGAACGUCGUGAGACAGUUCGGUCCCUAUCUGCCGUGGGCGCUGGAGAACUGAGGGGGGCUGCUCCUAGUACGAGAGGACCGGAGUGGACGCAUCACUGGUGUUCGGGUUGUCAUGCCAAUGGCACUGCCCGGUAGCUAAAUGCGGAAGAGAUAAGUGCUGAAAGCAUCUAAGCACGAAACUUGCCCCGAGAUGAGUUCUCCCUGAGACUACAAGUCUCCUGAAGGAACGUUGAAGACGACGACGUUGAUAGGCCGGGUGUGUAAGCGCAGCGAUGCGUUGAGCUAACCGGUACUAAUGAACCGUGAGGCUUAACCUUAC
rnacentral:rRNA from 1 species